rfam:Jannaschia rubra strain CECT 5088 genome assembly, contig: 0015
AGGGGUAUAGCUCAGUUGGUAGAGCAGCGGAUUCCAAAUCCGCAGGUCGCGGGUUCGAAUCCUGCUGCCCCUG